rnacentral:rRNA from 1 species
CGACCGCUGGCGGCGUGCUUCACACAUGCAAGUCGAACGGUGAAGCGCCUUCCUUUUUGGUGGGUGUGGAUGAGUGGCGAACGGGUGAGUAACACGUGAGUAACCUGCCCCCUUCUUCUGGAUAACCGCAUGAAAGUGUGGCUAAUACGGGAUAUUCUGGGUCUGUCGCAUGAUGGGUCUGGGAAAGAUAUUGUUUCGGUGGGGGAUGGGCUCGCGGCCUAUCAGCUUGUUGGUGGGGUGAUGGCCUACCAAGGCGGUGACGGGUAGCCGGCCUGAGAGGGUGGACGGUCACACUGGGACUGAGACACGGCCCAGACUCCUACGGGAGGCAGCAGUGGGGAAUAUUGCACAAUGGGCGCAAGCCUGAUGCAGCGACGCCGCGUGAGGGAUGGAGGCCUUCGGGUUGUGAACCUCUUUCGCCAGUGAAGCAGGCCUGCCUCGUUUGUGGGUGGGUUGACGGUAGCUGGAUAAGAAGCGCCGGCUAACUACGUG